ACGGGGCUUUAUGUCUUUGUAAUUGGAUGAUGGGAAUUUAAACCUCUUCCAGAGUAUCAAUUGGAGGGCAAGUCUGGUGCCAGCAGCCGCGGUAAUUCCAGCUCCAAUAGCGUAUAUUAAAAUUGUUGCAGUUAAAAAGCUCGUAGUUGAAUUUCUGCUGCAUUGCAUUUUCUCCUAUACGAGUUUUUGCAUUGUGGCUUAUUUCGGUUAUAAAAUUUAUUUUUAUUUCCGGAUGUUUACUUUGAGAAAAUUAGAGUGCUCAAAGCAGGCUUUUGCCUUGAAUAGUUUAGCAUGGAAUAAUAAAGUAGGACUUUGGUUCUAUUUUGUUGGUUUUAGGUACCAAAGUAAUGGUUAAUAGGAAGAGUU
rnacentral:rRNA from 1 species